UACGUAGGGUGCGAGCGUUAAUCGGAAUUAUUGGGUGUAAAGCGUGCGUAGGCGGCGCGUUAAGUCAGGUGUGAAAGCCCCGAGCUUAACUUGGGAAUUGCGCUUGUGACUGGCGUGCUGGAGUGUGGCAGAGGGAGGUGGAAUUCCACGUGUAGCAGUGAAAUGCGUAGAGAUGUGGAGGAACACCGAUGGCGAAGGCAGCCUCCUGGGCCAGCACUGACGCUGAUGCACGAAAGCGUGGGGAGCAAACAGG
rnacentral:rRNA from 1 species